GCGUCGGGGGCCAGCCUGGCGGGACAUUUGGGGUCCCCCAUACGUGGACCUAUGCCUGUUGUAAGAUGUUUGGAAGAGCGUCGAAAGAUGAGAUCAUGUUGUGUCCUUGGAAGCUGAAUGAAGAACCGGCUUGCAAAGGAGAAGCGCGUGCAGUCCCGGCGCGGCCCGCUCUGCUCAGUUCUCCAGGGCGGGCCUUGGCCUGGACUGCGUGUCGGGAGGACUCGCGGGCCCCGCAUUGCCGCAUGCCACCGGCAGGUGUCUCUUUCCUGGCUUGGGAACCUAUUAACUGUCCGGUCAUUCAUGAGGAUGAGUGUCCCCAGAUGUGCCUGUCUCAGGGCACCCUCUCCUGGGCACACCUGAUUGGAUCAAGCUGUGCACCUGACCCAGGCUGGGACAACCAAAUUCCCUCUCCCAGGAAUCUGGUAUUGGACUGAGGACAGCCACUCACCUUUGGCUAAUCUCUUUAGGAGAGAAGAUGUAGAUGUGAUAGUUGUUGAGGGAUUAUCCUCUGCCCAGCUACUCACAGAGAAGAAAGUGGAUUGCAGAGGGAGACACGAAGCAGAGAAGAAAGCUGGAGAAGGUGGACUGUCUAGGUUCCUAGCAGCUUCUCGGGCUACCUUGAGGCCAUCUGCCCUUGGACUUCAUGAGAUACUGCUAUACUCUUCUAUGUCCCUUAAUGCUUACGUCAGCUCAAGUUGAUUACUUCCAACCAAAAGGACUUAACUCAGACAAGGACAAAGCCAAGACCAUCAGUGAGGUUUUUUUCUUUAUAACCAGGUCCCUUACAGCAUCCUGGGGAGCACUGUAGGUCCUAAAUACACAUUAUUCACAUUAUUCACUCUCCAAAGGCUUCCAUUAGGCAAAAACAUCUUCUCAUCCAAGGCCAACUAGAUUAGGAAAUGGCAUUUCUUAUGGCUUUCCAUCCCCAGAGGGCAAAUGCACAGAUGACUGCAGUUAGCAAUUGACUCUGUGGGUUAGUAUUUGCUGAGGGCACACACCCUGAGACUUGAAUGACAGAAAUCCCCAGGUGCCAAGGAGGAGACUGGCAAUUAUGCCUCCAAUCACCUCCCUGUUCUGCCGCCCUCUAAAUCAGCACUCCCCACCGCGGUGACCCUCAAUGACUGGCAAGACGACCCAUUUUUAAAGGGCCAAUUUUUAACAGCUGGAAACAAUAAACGUCGUGGGAGGUGAAGAUGCUGGGAGGACUGAUUUCUCCUUCGCUGUUUUCAAAAGUCAAAAGAUGCUGGGUGUAAUGGCAACAGCCACAGAAAGUUAGCACAACUCCUGCCACGGAGCAGCUGUGUGAUGGUGGCUUCCCCAGUCCCCCUCCCUGGGCCUCGGUUCUUACAGCUGCAAAAUGAGGAGGUAGAAUGAGAUGCUCUUUAAUAUCCCUUUCAUCUUCAACUUUCUACAAUUCUUGUAAGCUGGAAAGAUGUACACAGAACUUCAUCUUGAUUUUAUUACUUGUAGUCCAUCUUCUUGUGACAGAGCCAGCGGCAGCUUGUGCAUGUGAAAGCUUUGAUCAAAAUCAACCAUUCCUUUCCAAAAUUCAGAAGCUUCCACAACAAGAACAAAAAUGAAAAGAAGAAAGAUGAAAAUACACUACAAUGUCACGGUCAUUUGCACCAGUUUCCUGUGUACAGCUCUGCUGCUCUACGCUCAUUUCUCAAUCAGGUUUUGUCUCUCUUUUUUGCAUUAAAAGCUGAGAGAGGAGCUAAAACUGCCCUGAGAAGCUCCCCCGGGACCCUGCCUGAUCAUCAGGGGAAUGGGGCCUACCUCAGCAGUCUACUUUCUUCAUUCAGCCCUAUAGCCUCAGGAGAGAAGUUUGUCUCGCUCAGAGGAAGCAGUGGCCGCUCUGUCCCAUACCCUGUCAGGCCAUUUCCCAUAGGAGACUGGACCUAGGGUGUGUGCUCAGGGUCCCAGUUUCUGCGGCGUUGAGCGGGUCCGGUACUCCUUUCCACACCAGGCUGAACCCCAAGGAAGCGAAUCCAUGUCCUCGUGGAAGAAUAGGCCCCAAAGUGCCAAGCAUCAGCCCCGUCAGUGCUGCCUGGAGAGCCGCCUGUGUCCUGCAGAACUUACACCCAUGCAAGAGUGCACCCACUCAGCAAAUGCGGGACACCGUCAGGAAGAACAAGACAUCCUUGCUUCAGCUUCCCUCCUGUCACCUUUCCACUUCCCUUUGGGGAAGGUGUGCCUGGGUUUGCACACGGACUGGGGCCCCAUCCCUGUUCCCCGCUGUGUGUGGCAGGGCAAGGGAAUGCAUUUUUAAAUACCUUUCAGGCUAGGAUUCCUUUUUUUUUUUUGAUGGCAUACUCUAACUCCAACAUUUCUUCUGUAAGUAUCACCAGUUAUUUUACUAAAAUCUAGAUUUCCCAAUCCAAGUGUUAGGAAGGUACUAUGCUGCUGCUGCUUUGGGGCUUUCUGUCUGGCAACAUCUAUAAACAGUGCAAUAGUGACUGUAGUCAGUUUCACGGUCUCAUGUCUGAAUCUUUUUUUUUUUUUUUUUGACAGAGUCCCACUCUGUCUUAGCCUCCCAAGUAGCUGGGAUUACAGGCGCCUGCCUCCACGCCCAGCUAAUUUUUUAUUUUUAGUAGAGAGGGG
rnacentral:lncRNA from 10 species